GAUUUACGUUUUUCUGCUUGUGAAGUCUUCGGUGAUUGACGAAUGCAAAGAGGAUGUUGUACUUAGAGCUGGGAACUUCACGUAUUACUAUAAGGAUAUAUCUUCACCGUGCCUGGAAAAAGGGGCAAGCUUUGAAACAGCCUUUGCCAUCUCUGAAAAAAGGAAUAAAUUAAAUAUUGACAAAAAUUAGCAAAAUCAUCAGAAAUCUGAGACAGCAUCUACUCUAAGAAGACACACCUUUAUGAAGCCCGAACUGAGAUAAACAGUAAUGAUAUCAGCAAUAAGAUGAAAGCUUCUCCUGAAAGACUUGGAGAAAUAAAAUCGGCUGGCCAUGAGGCCUGAAGAAAUGGCACCGUCACACUGAAAUUGGCCAUGCUCUGUCCUGACUUGUAUUUCGCUGAAGAUUUGACUAAAUGUCUUCAGCAGGUGAUUUUUAUAAACUGUCACAGGAGACCAGCAUCUUGAAGCUUGCUUAAAUUUUACAGAACAGUUUGGGCAACAUAAAUACAGAUAAGCAGUAUACGUGUAUGGAUGUACCAACAUGAAUUCCAGUGGCGGUCAAUGGGGCGAGCUACAUUAAGAAAAGGUCAGAGAGUAAUGAUAACAGUUCUUCCGUCUCCUCAUUCGGUAUGUUCUUGAUCAACUGAAACUUGUGGUUAAAAUGACAGAAAGACAUGUACCAUACUUUCGCAGGUCAAGUUUCUAGUAAUUGAAAUUGAGUCAAGUUUCUAGAUGUAAUUGAAACAAUGGUAGUUUCUUUCAUGGAAAAAGUAUGAGUUCCCCUCUGUUACAGGUAAGCAGCUUCUUCUGUGUCUGGGUUCUGGUUAUGUUUGUUCUUGGCUAGAAAGAUUUUUUUUCUAUAUGUUAGAAGGGAUUACCUCUCUUUUAUUUCAUAGGUAUUUAUUGUCUGUCUGUCAAUGUCAUCUUCAGGAAAGUAACAAUUACUUAUUUGUCACAAAUUCUAAUUGUAAAAUGCAAUGAUCGUAGGCAGAUUAUGACAGCUAAACAGGGAAAAGUAUACAACUUGGAGGAAAUAAGAUUUUGAAAUGAGAAACUAGUUUUCUGUUGUGAGGAAAUCAGUCUGUAUUUAAUGUAAGAAUUUCUCAGAACUUGAUCUCCCCUGUUCUAUGGCGUAGAAGGAAAGUGCUCUGAAUUUUUCAGUCUACUUUUAUUUUUUAUAUUUCUGAAUAAUAAAAAAAAAAAAAUCUGUGACUGUAAGCCACUGUCCCACACCACUAUGCUGGGAUGUUGUGGUGUUGUUGUUUUGUUUGGGGUUUUCUUUGUUUGUUUUUUAAAUAAUAUAAAAUGCAUUAUGUUCUUCUGUGUUUUGUUAUGAAUAAUC